rnacentral:rRNA from 1 species
UACAGAGGGUGCGAGCGUUAAUCGGGAUUUUACUGGGCGUAAAAGCGUGCGUAGGCGGCUUUUUUAAGUCGGAUGUGAAAUCCCCGAGCUUAACUUGGGAAUUGCAUUCGAUACUGGGAAGCUAGAGUAUGGGGAGAGGAUGGUAGAAUUCCAGGUGUAGCGGUGAAAUGCGUAGAGAUCUGGAGGAAUACCGAUGGCGAAGGCAGCCAUCUGGCCUAAUACUGACGCUGAGGUACGAAAAGCAUGGGGAGCAAAACAGG